rnacentral:rRNA from 1 species
AUGAUUCGUGGGACGUCCUGCCGGUGGUGGCGAGGCGAAGGCGUGCACCCGUUGUGGUCUUCCACUUCGGUUCUUGCGCGCCGGAGGCGGACCCCGAUGAAAUCCUACCGCGGUGCUCUUCGCCGAGUGUCGAGGUGGGCCGGCACGUUUACUUUGAACAAAUUAAAGUGCUUAAAUCAGGCCUGUUGCGCCUGAAUACUGUGUGCAUGGAAUAAUGGAAUAGGACCUCGGUUCUAUUUUGUUGGUUUUCGGAACCCGAGGUAAUGAUUAAUAGGGACAGGCGGGGGCAUUCGUAUUGCGACGUUAGAGGUGAAAUUCUUGGAUCGUCGCAAGACGGACCGAAGCGAAAGCAUUUGCCAAGUAUGUUUUCAUUAAUCAAGAACGAAAGUUAGAGGUUCGAAGGCGAUCAGAUACCGCCCUAGUUCUAACCAUAAACGAUGCCAGCUAGCGAUCCGCCGAAGUUCCUCCGAUGACUCGGCGGGCAGCUCCCGGGAAACCAAAGCUUUUGGGUUCCGGGGGAAGUAUGGUUGCAAAGCUGAAACUUAAAGGAAUUGACGGAAGG